UGGGGAAUUUUGGACAAUGGGGGAAACCCUGAUCCAGCCAUCCCGCGUGUGCGAUGAAGGCCUUCGGGUUGUAAAGCACUUUUGGCAGGAAAGAAACGUCGCGGGUUAAUACCCCGCGAAACUGACGGUACCUGCAGAAUAAGCACCGGCUAACUACGUGCCAGCAGCCGCGGUAAUACGUAGGGUGCAAGCGUUAAUCGGAAUUACUGGGCGUAAAGCGUGCGCAGGCGGUUCGGAAAGAAAGAUGUGAAAUCCCAGAGCUUAACUUUGGAACUGCAUUUUUAACUACCGGGCUAGAGUGUGUCAGAGGGAGGUGGAAUUCCGCGUGUAGCAGUGAAAUGCGUAGAUAUGCGGAGGAACACCGAUGGCGAAGGCAGCCUCCUGGGAUAACACUGACGCUCAUGCACGAAAGCGUGGGGAGCAAACAGGAUUAGAUACCCUGGUAGUCCACGCCCUAAACGAUGUCAACUAGCUGUUGGGGCCUUCGGGCCUUGGUAGCGCAGCUAACGCGUGAAGUUGGCCGCCUGGGGAGUACGGUCGCAAGAUUAAAACUUAAAGGAAUUGACGGGGGUGCAUAG
rnacentral:rRNA from 1 species